AGCCCUGUGGCACAAUGGCAGUGCAUCUGACUCCAGAUCAGAAGGUUGUGUGUUCAAGCCACACCAGGGUCA
rfam:Anolis carolinensis chromosome 5, whole genome shotgun sequence.